UACGUAGGGUGCGAGCGUUAAUCGGAAUUACUGGGCGUAAAGCGUGCGCAGGCGGUCUGUUAAGACCGAUGUGAAAUCCCCGGGCUUAACCUGGGAACUGCAUUGGUGACUGGCAGGCUUUGAGUGUGGCAGAGGGAGGUAGAAUUCCACGUGUAGCAGUGAAAUGCGUAGAGAUGUGGAGGAACACCGAUGGCGAAGGCAGCCCCCUGGGUCAACACUGACGCUCAUGCACGAAAGCGUGGGGAGCAAACAGG
rnacentral:rRNA from 1 species